CCAGGACACUGGAUGGCAGGGGGAGAGGAAUGAGCCUGGAGGAGGGGCUUGAGCAAAAGGGUCAGAGGGGCUUUCUGGAGGAGGGAAGACAUUCAUGAAAAGUCCUCAGCUCUUGCAGGGAGUGAUUCUCGCACUCAGCACGCUCCGAUUACCAGAGUGACCUGAGCAGCUGCCUCACGUCUCCUCAUCGACGGAGCCCAUAGGCGAGUGACAUGAGAGGAGGCUGCAGGCAGGCCUUCCCCCCACUGUUCUGCAGCCCUGCUGUCCCCCCAGCCACUCUGGCACCCCUCACGGCAAGGGAGCCUGGGGGCAGAGGGUGGACGGAUUUGUUGGCUUGAUUCGCAUGUUGUAUCAGUUACUUCAUGAGGUGUGAGGUACAUUCCGGAGGAACAGAGGAGCAGGAGCCCACUUGCCCCAGCCCUUUGCAGAAGGACCCUCCUGGGAGGGAGGUAGUUUACCCCACCCCAGGGAAGAGGAACUCAUUGAGAAGAGCCCCACACUCCCCUCGAUGGGGGCAGAGACUCUAAUGUUUUCUGAGGGGUUCAGCAGUGCCAGGAGAGAGAUGCACUGCUGUGCACGUAAUAAACGGUUCAUGCCAUUCUUCA